AUUGAACGCUGGCGGCAUGCUUUACACAUGCAAGUCGAACGGCAGCGCGGGGCAACCUGGCGGCGAGUGGCGAACGGGUGAGUAAUAUAUCGGAACGUACCCAGAAGUGGGGGAUAACGUAGCGAAAGUUACGCUAAUACCGCAUACGAUCUACGGAUGAAAGUGGGGGACCUUCGGGCCUCAUGCUUUUGGAGCGGCCGAUAUCUGAUUAGCUAGUUGGUAGGGUAAAGGCCUACCAAGGCGACGAUCAGUAGCUGGUCUGAGAGGACGACCCGCCACACUGGAACUGAGACACGGUCCAGACUCCUACGGGAGGCAGCAGUGGGGAAUUUUGGACAAUGGGCGCAAGCCUGAUCCAGCAAUGCCGCGUGAGUGAAGAAGGCCUUCGGGUUGUAAGCUCUUUUGUCAGGGAAGAAACGGCUGAGGAUAAUACCUUCGGCUAAUGACGGUACCUGAAGAAUAAGCACCGGCUAACUACGUGCCAGCAGCCGCGGUAA
rnacentral:rRNA from 1 species